AGUUCUGCUUCUGAAGCUGGAAGGGGCUUUUCGGUUGUAACCCUUGGGUUAGUUUCAGUUACUUCUUUGCUAGGUUGAGGAAAGGGUGGAAGCGCCUCCUGCAGCCACGAAUAUCCUCCAGUGCCUGAGAGAAAACGGCCUAAUCGAAAACGUCCGCGGCAUACAUCCAUUCUUAAAACUUGAGUGGCUGCUUUUCUGGGUGGAAAAGAGCGGUAUCAGACAGGGUGAGCAGUCGGGGAACGGAUGAACAAAGACUUGCACCGUGGCCCUGAUGCCUUUGUUCCGAGUUCUAUUCAGUUGUACUUGUGCGUUGUUACAGGACUUUAGAAUGCAGCCCUGCCCCCCAACCCCCACCUCCCAGGGCCGACCUGUGCUCCUAGGAAGGCAAACCUCCCAGGAAUAUAUUCUGCAUAACUAUACAAAUAGGCCUUUAUUCAAGGCUUUUGGAUUAUGACAAAGAUUACCCUCAGGAGUAGUAAGAUUCUACUAGCAGGAUAAUAGAAAGGAUUAAGGCUCCCCUCCAAAGAAAAUUUUUUUAAGUUAGAAACGGAGGCGAGCCGCAGUGGGUCAUGCCUGUAAUUUCAAUGCUUUGGAAGGCCGAGGUGGGAGGAUAGGAUAGCUUGAGGCUAGGAGUUCGAGACCAGCCUGGGCAACAUGGGGAGACCCCCCCCCAUCCCUCCAAAAAAGAAAAGAAAACUGGAAAGCCUUAAAGAAACCUUUCAAACUUUAGUGUGUAUCAGAAUUACCUGAAAGGUUUGUUAAAACAGAUUGCUGGGCCAUACCCCCAGAAUUCUCUGACUGGGCUAUCGGAAAUAAUGCCUGAGAAUGUGCAUAUCUAAUAAGUUCCUAGUUCCACUUUAGGACCCUAGAAGGUUAGUAUCUUUCCUCUCUACCAGGCUUAUCUUAGGAUGAACCGUUCGGGGUUUGCUGAUGUGAAGCUAAAACAAAAAUAUUCUUUAAAAGGAGGGAUGUCUUAUUCAGUCCAUAAGAUCAUCUAAUGUAUUAAGCUGGCUUGGGGGAUGAAUCGGGUGUUUCAUUCAUUCAUUUGACAGGUAAGCAUUGCUUACCUACUCUAUUAUGACGGGGUCUGUGCUGACUCCGAAUAUUCGGUGGGAUGCAAAAUAGUUAAGUGCUCUUGUAGAGUUUACAGAUUAGCGGAAAACAGACAAAUUGUGUUAAGAGCAAUAGAAAGAAGAGAGCGGAGGACUCUGAGAAAUGAAGGCGAGGAGUGGGAGAAUGAGAGGAAGGUGGAAGGCAGGUAAGGAGUCUGACCAGCUGGUAUUUAAAAGCUAAGAUGGGGGGAAGAGUCUCCCAGGAGAGUGAACAGCAAGUGUCAAGGACCUGAGGCAGGAACAAGCUUGGCUUCUUCCACAAAUUGAAAGAAGAUCCAUAUGAAAGAGUCAGAGAAGAUGCAAUGGGAGAUGAAGACUGAGAGAUAAGGAAGAGUGAAACAGUGCAAGAAUUUGUAGACUGCUCUAAGCAUUUUAAAGUUUAUCUUAAAAGCAGCUUGAUAAAUUAGAUUUAUGGUAAUUAGUUUAAAAAUAAAAAUAAAGCAACUUGAAAGG
ensembl:lncRNA novel transcript